UGGCACCUUAGUGUAGGCAACUCCCAGUUCCCUUCCACAGGGCUGCAGGACAACGGUUGUUACCGUGUCUGGAAGUUCCUCAUACGAAGAUGCAGCCUAGAUACCAGUGCUGCGAGUCAUCUUCCCCUCUCUUGACCCUGAGGUUCACUUGCUUUCAGUACAGUUAAGUUGGUUUAGCUGUGCUGUAACACACAGAAGUGACUGUGAACUUCUACAGGGGUGCCCUGUUCUCCGCACUGUAAUGAGCGUAGGAUGAUCUAAAAACCUGCUUCCAAAUUGUUAGCCAACUUCUGUAUCUUCAUCCAAUUCCAAAACUACACUUGAAGGAUCACAGCAGCACUUCAACAGAAGCAGCUUCUAUCUCUACAGCUACAAGGUCACAUUAACUACCGCUAAUUUUGUCUAAGGCUUAAGCUAUAACUAGUCAGAGCUAAAGGCCAUCAACUUACUUGAGAUAAUGAUUUGCAAGCACAGACCAGUGUCACUCAGAGGCAACACCUGAACAAUUAACUAACUCUCUCUUACAGAUAGGCCUUUAGUUAUGCAUAAUAUCAGACCACAGACAUAUUUCUAACUGUUUAGAAAUAGAUGAAAAGACUCAAAACUUGAGGGAGGAAAUCAGAAAUUUAUUCUACAGUAAGACAUCCAACUUUGGUCAAGAUCUGAAGGAAGAAUUUCUGUUGAACUAGCCUGGACACCAGCAGGAACAGGCAUCACACACUGGUGUCUCAGAUGCGCUGCAAAACACCUUUAUAAGAAGCUCAAGGACAUGUACCCUUCCUCCAACGCAAAGGCUCCUCUCAAUCUAUGCAAGGAUGAAAACUCUUAGAGAAAACCUCUGUCCCUGAUCUUCCCUUGCUUGGGCUUUCUCUGGAACUCAGCUGAUUGGACGGCAAGCAAAUUCAACUAAGAAAAACUCACCUGGACCAUUCCACCCCAUCUUGUAAAUGGAAUGACCUUUGAGUAUUAUCAGAUGAACACCAGACGUAGCACCCAUAAGCAGCAAGUUGUAAUCAUCUUUCAAAGGAACAUAGUAAAUUGGUUGCAUUUGAAUGAACAUACACCUUAUUGAAUUGCAACACCUCUCCACACAACAACCAGUUAAAACUCUUACAAAACAGCAUCACAGAGAGAUCUACUAGUAAAAGUGAGCAAAUUUCCUUUUGAAACCAUCUCCUACGUGGUCUAAUAUAUUAAGGAGGAAGUUUCCUCUGGACUGCAUUUAGUCCUUUAUCCCAUACUCUGUAUAUGUGCCUCUAGCAUUGUCACCUCCACUUGUGCAAGUCUUGUAGUUGCAAUGGGCUUUACUGGUACAGCCCUCCACCAUAGAACUGUUUAUGUAUAAAUACACUAAAAAGUAUAGGCUGAUUAUAACAAACGGUCAUGAGCAGUAAAGAAAAAGCAUAUCACAAACACCCAAAUGAGUUCUUGCACCUCGAGGUGCAAGCCUUUCUUGCUCCAGCAAAGAAUACUGGUGGGGCUACUACUUAAAAUGCUUACAGUGGAUGAAAGCUUUUAAAUCAUAACAGGAAGCUGGAUGACGAAGACUAAAAACAAAGCAAAUCAAAUGCACUACUACUGGAGUAUUGAUGAAGUCUUCACAGUUUUACUUCUACUUUCAUUCUACAUAUGCCACUUAACAGAUAUGCUCCAUUAUUUCAACAGCAUGAGAAGAGAAUGACACAUCUAAACACACAUGUAUGUUCCAGCCCAUUUAAACAGAACAUCGAACAGGAGCAAGACAUAGCACAGCAUGUGAUAAACCCGGGGUGACAGAUCCUAAUUCCUAAAGGUAAAAUUACUUCCACUAGACUAAGUCAUGUAAAGAGUUAUCAUGCUGAUCAAAAGAUUUAAAAAGGGAUUAACUCAUUUUAUAAAAAAUGUUAAAAUGUACAAUAUCAUAACCUUUCUCGUUAAGCAAUGCUCGCAUGCAUCAACUGGACAGAUGUAUGCCACACAAAAGCUGGUGAAAUAGGAAACAGCCAUUUAGGAAGUCAGUCUUUAGGCUGAACUGAAAAAAACCAGUAAGAAAUUAUCUUAGGCCAAAUGAAUUCUGAUAUUUAGAAGGAAAUAAAAGAUCCAUCAGAAUAGCAGCCCUGGAGAUCAGGAGUAUAAAAAUUUCAAGGUGAAAAAAAUUACUUGUUUGCUUGAAAUAAGACUUAUGUUUACAGCAUUAUUGAACAACUGCAAUGUCGACGUGAGUUUAAACUGUAUUAAACAGUAGUUUUUAAACUACUACAUUAAAAUGUAGUUUAAAAACAGACUAGUUAGUAAAAAGAUGGUUGUCCCAUGCUUUUUGAACAGUGAAAUCAAUGUAUCAGAAUUCAGUCCUUCAAAAGAGUAGGAAAUGAAAACUUCCGUACUUGUAAUGUGUGUGUACAUAGCACAACAGUGUCACACACAUCCUUGGCCAAGGCAAGCUGUGGAUUUCAUACACACUCAACAAACUGUUCACAACUGAAACGAUUUCAGAAAGCAUGUUUUUAAAAGUGCUCUGUAAAGCGGCACUUUCAAAAGACCAAAGAUUAUUGCUCAUCAAGGAGUUAGAGUAAUCCGCUUUUUUCUUCUCUUUGGCUGAAAAACAGAACAGCGUCACAGCAAGAAGUUUGCUUGCUUUAAACAGCAUAUCUGGAACAACUGAUACGCCUUUAUCACAGCAAAACAUCAGUAAUUUCAAGUAGCUGUAGAAAAUAAGCUUAUUUUAAGAACUUUAGAACACUGGCAUACUGACUUUGCUAAAAGUAUGCUUUUCUAAAGAAAGACUCCUUACAGACCACUAUUAGACUUGUUUGUAGAGCAAAAUUAAUUAUUUGUGGAGUAUUCUGUACAUAGAUAAGCACAAUGAAUUGCACCAUAGAAAGAAAACAACUCUGACCAUAAAGGGCUGUUUACUUUAAAAAACUGGACAGUAAAAGCCCCACAAUACAACAAAUACUCAUAAAUAAGGAGGUUUGUUCCCAACACUUCAGCAGUUGUUUGGGUGGGUGUCAAUGUUGGUUUUAAGAGUCUCCUGUCGCAACAGAAACUUUACAUUGUGUAAAUAAUAAAAAAAAGAACUGAUGUUUAUAGUAGUCCAUAUUUCUUGCUUGCACUCCCUAUAUAAUUUACUCUUUCCAGCUGUUUAAUUUGUAUACAUUAAAAGAAUUACUUCCACGUAUUAUCUAAAGUUUCCAAAUGUUUGCCACAGGUGAUACAAAGGAAAGUUUUAGGAAAACUGACAGCUGUGGGCAAAGUUCUACAAUGUAAGAACUGAGUAAGUUUUCUGCCCGACUUCAGUCUUCAAAUGCUGCAGAGCUCUUACAGUCCCACAAUUAUUAUUUCAUACUCAUGCGUGCCAAAACCACAGAUAAAGCAUGUAUAAAGAAUUGUGAAACGUGGUAAAAACAACCCCAGAAAUGCAAAAUAUUCAUCAGCUCAGUUAGAAAUUUCAGUAACGACAGUUUAGCUCUUGAGAUGCCCAGUAACUUACUCUAUCAGAGCAUUUGUUCAACAAGACAUGGUUCUAAUUCAGGACUUCAAGGUUCUCUGUGAUUAUCACACAACCUUAUUU